UUGGUGGUUGAAUGCAUACUGUACUUACUUGGGCGCCUAUGACUUAUUGCUUCAAAUAGGACAUUUGUUGCUACUGCCUAAAUACAGUUUUGAUUUCAUAUGCAUCAUCUUUAUGCUCUAUGUUUCAGCACAUAUUUAAGGGUCUUCAACAUUAUGUCACUUCUUCUUCUUCUUCUUUUGAGAGUACCGCGUUGGUUGCCUUUUUUAACGUAGG
rnacentral:lncRNA from 1 species